rnacentral:lncRNA from 1 species
GAGGGUGCCUAUUAUUAAACACUCACCAGCACAACACUGGGCUUUUCUGAUGUCUUAUUUCCUAUCUGCUACUCACUGGUUGUGGAUCUUUAUCAUGAAGAACAAAUUAAUGCCGAACUAAUUAUCUUACAGAAUGUUUUAUCCUCCAAAAUCUGACCUGGACUUUGUACAUAAUGUUUCUUCAGAAGUUAUGGUCAGUCGAAUGCACUGUUAAUGAAAUGCAGGUUUAUAUUCCCAUUGUAAUUAUGGGUUCUGGUGAUCUUUGAAAAAGAUGGAUGCCCAUUUUCUCUAUUUCAAAUUGUUUGCCACAAGAAAGCAAUUACCUUUAUUUAAUGUCUACAUACUGUGGCUAUAUUUUUUAACACUGCUACACAUUAGCCAUACUCAUGUCUUUUCAUGUGAUCUAUAUGACAAUUAAAUUUUAAAACCUCAUUUCUUCGUCUUAUGCAUAUUAUAGCAAACUUUCUAAUUUAACAAAUUCUAUCUCUUGUGGGGUCGACAAAUACAAACAGUACAAAACAUAGAGAAACCCCUAAGCUAAUUUGAAAGUAAUUUAUUUUUAAAAAUUUCAUAUUAUUUGCUUUAUCCUCCCCUAAUUUUUAUACUCUUAUUUCUUGACCUUUAUUACUAUUUUUAGUACUACAUAAUAUUAUAGGGUCAUUUCUAAUUAGUAACAGGCAAUAAAUAAAACAAAUCUGUCAUUCCUGGAACCAGUAAAAAUUGUGAGUUACAAAGUUUCAAUUCUUUUGAGUUUAAGCAAGAGUUUUAAAGUUGUUUAUAUAUGAAGUAUAUUUUUGGUAGAUAUUUGGUAGCAUAAUUAUCUUUUAAAAACUUGCAUUACUGUAAUUAAUUACCACGUGCAUGUUAUCACCAGGAUCUCUGCUUAUAGGCAUAAUGAUUUCCUUAGUAAAUGAAGGAAGCAAACCUGCUGUGGGUUUUUUGUUUUUGUUUAUUUCCAAAAUUUAUCCCAAAACUGACUCUCACAAUCUCCACAGCUAUAGAUCUGGUCCGGUCAACAUCUCUUCCUUAGCUCAUGGCAAUUAUCCUCGUCUUAGUCCAUUCAGGCUAGUGCAGCAAAAUAAAGCAGACGGAGUAGCUUAUAAACAAUGGAAAUUUAUUUCUCACUGUUCUGGGGCUGAGGAGCUCAAGACUGAGGUGCUAGCAUGGUUUCAUUCUGGUGAGGGCACGCUUCCUCAUUCAUAGCUGCUGACUUCUUGCUCUGCCCUCAGGUAAGCAAGGAUGGAAAAGACAGGGAUGUGGAAAGGCAGGGAUCUCUGUUGUGUGUCAAUUAUAAGGCACUAAUCCUAUUCAUGAAGACUCCCCCUCAUGACUAAGCACUACCCAAAAGCCCCGCCUCCUUACACGAUCACUUUGGGGGUUAGGAUAUCAACAUAUGAAUGGUGGGGACACAGACCAUAGCAGUCCUCCAACUCGUGUUCCUGUUUCUGUCCUUGCCUUCCUACAACCAGUUCUCCACACAGCAACCAGAGCUGUUAUUCGAAAGGUAUAUGAGACCUGCUGCAUCCCACAGGGACUUCCCAUCACACUCAGAGCUAAAGUCCACAGUCCAUGUAAUAGCUUACGAAUGAACCCUCUGUCAUCUGCGUCGUUUCUUCUCUGACUUCAUCUCCUCUCUCUCUUCCCAACUCUAGCUGCUCCAGCCACACUGCCCUCCACGUUUUGUUUUGUACUGUUUCUCAAUACAGCCUUCAUGUUUGCAUAGUGGAUAUUUCCAUUAGCUAUACACAUUGGCCUGGAAUGCUUUUUUCUCUAAAAUUUGCACAGAUCACUUUCUCACCUCUUUAAAGUUUUUGCUUAAACGUCAUAGUUGUCAGUGAAUCAUUGCUGAUUACCAUGUCUAAAAAUGCAACCUGCCCUCAUCUCUGGCCUUCUGCUUUCACUGUCUCAGAAUAUUUAUAACUUGUUAACUUAUUAUAAUCUAGCCAUUAUGUUAAUGUAUACUGCCUGUCACCUGAAGCCAUAUUAUAUAUUACAUGUAUUCACAGAGUGCCUUUAAUAAUUUUGAAGAAAAGAGGGAAGAAAAAAGAAGGAAACUGAAUCCAAAAGUAAAAUAUAAAAAAAGAAAAUGCAGUGAAUACAGAAAUUGGUAAAGACCAAAAAAAACAAAACAAACAAAAAAAAAAACAACAACAACAACAAAAAAAUUGGAGUUCCCGUCGUGGUGCAGUGGUUAACGAAUCCGACUAGGAACCAUGAGGUUGCGGGUUCGAUCCCUGGCCUUGCUCAGUGGGUUAAGGAUCCAGCGUUGCCGUGAGCUGUGCUGUAGGUUGCAGAUUCGGCUCGGAUCCCGUGUUCCUGUGGCUCUGGCAUAGGCCGGUGGCUAUAGCUCCGAUUGGACCCCUAGCCUGGGAACCUCCAUAUGCCAUGGGAGCAGUCCAAGAAAUGGCAAAAAAAAAAAAAAAAAAAAGACAAAAAAUGGAGUCAGAAGCAAAAUUCUAUUAAUUACGAAAAGAUGAGACCCUGGAAGAUUUAAAGAAUUUUACCGAACUUAUAUGAACUCAUAUGAUUUAUAUUAUAGUCACUACAUUGUACCUCAUCAACACUCUCUAAAUCUAGAGCAUUUAAAUCACCCAGAAGAAAUCAUGUACUAUCAGCAGUCAGUCCCAAUUUCCCUCUCUCCUCAUCCCUUGACAAUCACUACAUAACACUUGUUUUUAAAUGAUAAUUAGUAACAAGAGUGAGAGUGUUCACAUAGAUAGACUUGAACAAAUCCAGUUUGGAAGGCGAAAGAAGUGUUUUCUUCACUGCUCUCUACCUCAGGUUAACUAUGAGUAGUAAUCAGCAUGGAAAGCUUUCCAUUAAGCAAAUUUCUCUCCUGGUAGUACUAUAAUUAAAGCUGUUAAUAAACACAUCUCCAAGUUCAGUUCUUGAAGAGUCAGUUAAGUAUAAAUUCAUAAUGCUAACUUGCACUGUGCUGCAUUUUUGAGAUUGUAGAAAUGUGCAUGCAUUUGUAUGUCAUAAGUUAUUGAGUUCAGUCAACACAAUUUAGGUAUAUUGAGUAAUUACGACAGUAUGCAAACCUUUUAAAAUCGGCGAAUGUUUAAGCAGCAUUCAGCCUACUUCAGCAUAACCUAGUCUAUGGCUUCUGGUGGGCAAGAAAGAAAUUUAAACCUUCUCCUGAGGAAUUUUCCAGUCUCCAUCUAAACUCCACCUUUGCUGGGUCUGCUGACAAGCAUCACCUCUCUCAGAAGCCUCAUCUGAUCACUCU